AAAAAAAAAAACUUUGGGAUAACUUCAGGAAACUGGGGCUAAUACCGGAUAGGAGCUCCUGCUGCAUGGUGGGGGUUGGAAAGUUUCGGCGGUUGGGGAUGGACUCGCGGCUUAUCAGCUUGUUGGUGGGGUAGUGGCUUACCAAGGCUUUGACGAGUAGCCGGCCUGAGAGUGUGACCGGCAACAGGGGGACUGAGAUACGUACAAGACUCCUACGGGAGGCAGCAGUGGGGAAGAUUGCACAAUGUUUUUUUGUUUU
rnacentral:rRNA from 1 species